rnacentral:rRNA from 1 species
GGCGGAGCAAAUCACAAAACAACAGCUCAGUUCAGAUUGUAGGCUGAAACUCGCCUAUAUGAAGUCGGAAUUGCUAGUAAUCGCGGAUCAGCAUGCCGCGGUGUAUACGUUCCCGGGCCUUGUACACACCGCCCGUCACACCAUGAGAGUCGAUAACACCCGAAGCCUGUAGUCUAACCUUAGGGGGGACGCAGUCGAAGGUGGGAUUGAUAAUUAGGGUGAAGUCGUAACAAGGUAUC